UUUUUGUUUUUGAUUUUUUAGAGAUGUGGUCUCGCUAUAUCACCCAGGCUGGUCUCGGACUCCUGGCUUCAAGCAAGUCUCCCGCCUCAGCCUGCUCAGUAGCUGGGACCACAGGUGCGAGCCACCACACCCGGCUUCUAGGUGUUUUAAGCCUCAAGGCGAAGAGAGACAUGCAACUUAACAAGUCAGUACUGUUUUCAAGCCAGAGUGAGCGAUGAACUGAAAGCUGAAGCGGGGAGGGGUCCUGGAAAUCAUGACACUCUUCACUCUGCCAACCAGGAGGAGAGCUGAGUGUCCAGGGUCAGGGAAUUCACUCCUGAAAGGGACCCUUUCACCCCACACUGUCCCAGGAGUGCACCAAGCCCCCCCAAAAGUGGAUGUGUCGAUGUGUCCCGACUCUUGGGCAAAAGUUUCUCUACCAGCAAAAGAGGCCACUUCAGGGAUACUGGGGGAGUCCAAAGGUUUGGAUCCCUCCAUAGGAUCACCUAAAUUAGGUCAAAUGAAGUCUGAGCAUCUGUUUAAUUGUUCAAAGAAGAUUUAUUGGACAUCUACUGUAAGGCAGACAUUAACUUCUUCUUGAGAAUGAGAGGUGUUCCUUCCAGGGCUGGCUUUUGGAUCUAGGCAGGUCCAGGAGAGACGGUGACCACAGUCGCCAUGUGGCAACAGCAACCCCUAAAAGAGCACCGAAAGGCGUCAGGGCAGGGUGAGUCAGUAAGUAGAGCAGACAUUAAAAACUUAAACGGGGCUGGGUGCAGUGCCUCGUGCCUGUAAUCCCAGCACUUUGGGAGGCCAAGGUGAGCUGAUGGCUUGAGCCCAGGAGUUCCAGACCAGCCUCAGCAACAUAAUGAGACCCCAACUCUAUUUAUUUAUUUAUUUGUUUUGAGAC
rnacentral:lncRNA from 10 species